rnacentral:rRNA from 1 species
AGCAAGUAAAAGUUAUAACAAGCUGCGGAUAGAUGAUUAACGAGUUUGAACUCCGAAGGGUGUUGAUGGUGGGGAAUCGCACAUCGUGCGCGGCUCCCGUGCUCAAUCCAUUUCAACCCCCUUGUGCACCUUAUCGAAGUCAGUAGUCUUUCUCUUUUUGUUUGCCGGUUGUGUGUGGGAACCUCUUUCUGUUCACUUGGCCGGCGAGGAGAAAUAGAGGGUCGAAAGCUUUGACUUUUCUAUUAAACACUUUGUAUGUCUUGUGGAACGUAUUAGCUCCUUUGUAGGGGCGAAAUAAAUACAACUUUCAACAACGGAUCUCUUGGCUCUCGCAUCGAUGAAGAACGCAGCGAAAUGCGAUAAGUAAUGUGAAUUGCAGAAUUCAGUGAAUCAUCGAAUCUUUGAACGCACCUUGCGCCCCUUGGUAUUCCGAGGGGCAUGCCUGUUUGAGUGUCAUGUUAAUCUCAAACCCCUUGUCUUUUUUGUUGACUUGGUCGGUUUGGACUUGGAGGUGUUGCUGGCGUGAGUACGCACUACUAUGUGUCGGCUCCUCUUAAUUGCAUUAGCUGGACUUUGGUUCGCAUUUGACGGUGUAAUAGUAAAGUGUUCGCCGGGCGUGCUUGCCUAACGGGUCUGCUUCUAAUCGUCUUCGGACAACUCUGUUCAUUUUGACCUUGACCUCAAAUCUGGUAGGACUACUAGCAGAACUUAGACAUAUCGAUACUAGGAGGGAUUCCCACUAAAAACUGAUUCCCCUAGGGACUGAGAUCGAAGCUGAAAGAUGUCGGAUUUAGGAUCUCCGAGCUGUAAUCCGUCCGAGCAUUAUC